GAUGAACGCUGGCGGCGUGCUUAACACAUGCAAGUCGAACGAUGAAAGCGGGAGCUUGCUCCUGCUGGAUUAGUGGCGAACGGGUGAGUAACACGUGAGUAACCUGCCCUUGACUCUGGGAUAAGCGUUGGAAACGACGUCUAAUACCGGAUACGACCUUCGAGGCAUCUCCUGGGGUGGAAAGAAUUCGGUCAAGGAUGGACUCGCGGCCUAUCAGCUAGUUGGUGAGGUAAUGGCUCACCAAGGCGACGACGGGUAGCCGGCCUGAGAGGGUGACCGGCCACACUGGGACUGAGACACGGCCCAGACUCCUACGGGAGGCAGCAGUGGGGAAUAUGCACAAUGGGCGCAAGCCUGAUGCAGCAACGCCGCGUGAGGGACGACGGCCUUCGGGUU
rnacentral:rRNA from 1 species